rnacentral:rRNA from 1 species
AUGGACUCCAAGCCCGAAGCCCACGCGGCCGCGGCGUACCCGCGCAUGUCCCCGGCGGACCUCGCGCCGCCGCCGCCGCCGGUCGUGGCGCCCGCGGGCUCCAACCCCUACGUGCUGUCGUCGCCCUCCUCCGGACCGCCCGCCAAGAGCACCAGGGAGAAUCUCAGGGAGAUGUUCGGCUCGGUGGGGAAGAGGUUCAGCGAGGCCGCGCGCAAGACCGAGGGCAUCGCCGGCGACGUCUGGCAGCACUUGAAAACCGGGCCUAGCAUUACGGAUGCUGCAAUGGGGAGGAUCGCUCAGAUAUCCAAGGUCAUAUCGGAAGGGGGGUACGACAAGAUAUUCCAGCAGACGUUCGAGUGCUUGCCUGAUGAGAAGCUCAAGAAGGCCUACGCGUGCUACCUCUCGACCUCUCAUGGUCCGAUAAUGGGCGUCUUGUACGUCUCGACCGCCAAGCUUGCAUUCUGUAGUGACAGCCCCGUGGCAUAUGUCACCGAGGAUAAUCAGACCGCGUCAGCCAUUUACAAGAUAGUUGUACCUGUACCUCACCUGAGAUCAGUCACUCCUACCGCAAGUCAACAGAACCCUGCGGAGAGGUACAUCCAGGUCGUUUCUGUCGAUAACCAUGACUUCUGGUUCAUGGGCUUCGUGAACUAUGACAGCGCUGUGAAGUGUCUCCAGGAUGCUGCUCGUGGUGGCGCCUAG